ensembl:lncRNA
UGUAAUUUAAAUCCACAAUGUCAUGUAAGUUCCCUGUUGCCAGGAGAGUGUAUAACACUUUGGACAGUAGGGGGCAGCAGCGUGCUUUGGGAACUGAGUCGGGUGCAUAGCUGCCGUAAGUUUUCCAUUGUGGCAAGACUGACCAGGCGAACGGCAGCGUGUCUCCUGUGUUCACUUUCUCUCCUGUUUUACAGGAUCGUAAUCUGGCUACGCGCCCAUCAUAGUGGGGCCUGUAACACAUGCAACAUGCAGCACCUGUACAUAAAAGGCCAAAGCAGUCUGUACUUCCUCAGGAGGCUGAGGUCCUUCAACAUCUGCAGGAAGCUCCUGAGGAUGUUUUAUCAGUUGGUAAGUAGGGGAGAGGGAGGGGAAACAGGAGGACAAAGGAGGGUGGGAACAACUGAGCUGUAGUGCCUUUUCACUGUGCAAUAUUUAUUUUGUUAUACUAUCAAUAAUAUUUGUAUGAAUAUGGGAUACUGUUAGAUGUUUGCAUAGACUUUUGUGGAAUAUGGAGACACUCCUGGCAUUAUAUGAGCAAAGUGAGACUCAUUUUUAGGGUUUGUGGAGAUGAGUGUGAAGAUCCAAACAAUCCCUGUCAGUGAUGGAGAAGCUUUGAUGAAUAAAUUUGGUAAAAAGUUCACCAGCAUGAAGGAAAUGAAGUUCUCAAACUUUCCUAAAGAGGACCCCAGCACGCCUGCUUAAAGAAAAGGACUGUUUGCAAACAUCUCAGAGAGAGGAGACACCAGCAUCUGAACAGAGACUCAAACCAGCAACCUGCAGGUCCCUGCUUGGCUGCUCCAGUUUUCUCCUCACUCAUGUUGCCCACCAGUGAUUUCUAGCUGCCCACCCACACAGCAGGCUAGAAUAUGCGCUGAGCCUCAGCACCAUGGUUGCAAUACUUGGACAUGUUUUCUUUAUUAAAUAAUGAACCAGACCCCAAAAAGUAAACAGCUGUUAUUGCUAGGCAACGGGAGCAGCAUUUGGUGAUGCAGCACCUGACAUUCCUGACCAUGUGGGCGGAGCAUGCGUGAAAUGGAAUGUUUAGUAGAACUGUGCAACACAAGCACUUAGUUACGGCAUUUUUCAUUGUAUCCAGACACAGUUAGAGACACAUCUACAGCAGCAUCUCUGUGCAGGACAAACGACAGUUGAAGAUAUAAAACAUCAAAAACUUCACUUCUCUACAGUACGUUGGUUCCUUUGUUUAAAAGGCCAAAAUGAAUCAAGGGAGAUCGAGAAGAGGAUUGGCGAGUGCUUCACCAUACAGUACAGUGAAGUCUGAGCUGACUAACCUACGAGAGGAAUUUCAAAUAAUACAGGCUGAAAAUGUCAAAUUAAAAGAAGAGGCAGAAAAAUCAAGAGGAGAAGCUAAAAAUUCAAAGUUUGAAACUGAAGUAGUAUUGCAGGAAUUACUGCAUGUGGGUCUAAAACUUAAAGGAGAGAAGAUGGAAAAACAACGGGCAGAAAAUGAGAAUGAAAAUAUAAAGAAAGAACUGUUGGAAGCUGAAAAAGCAUUGGAGGAAGAGAAAACCACAGCACAAGAAGCCAAAAAUAAAUAUCAAACUGCAAAGAAGGAGGCAGAAAAUGUGAUGCAGGAAUUACAGGAGGUGCAGAAAGAUUUUGAAAAGGAAAAGAGGAAAAUGCAGUUGGCAACACAAGAAGCUGAAAAUGUAAUGGCUGAAGCUGAAAUAGUUAGGAAGGAAUUCCUGCAUGUAAAGCAACAACUUGAAGAGGAGAAAAAACGUAAACAUGAGGCAGAAAAUGAGAUUGAAAAUAUGAAGAAAGAAUUGUUGGAAGCUCAAAAAGUGUUGGAGGAAGAGAAAAUGAAAAUACAGGAAGCAAAGAAAGAAAUGGAAAAUACAAAUAGUUACACUCAAAACAUGAAGAAGAAGUUGCUGGAAACACAGGAAGCAAUAGAAAAAGAGACACGUGGAAAAUGGGAGGCAAAACAGGAAAGUGAAACUCUGAAGAAGGAACUGAUGAAAGUGCAAGAAGAACUUGCAGAAGAGAAAACUGAGGUGAAGGUAUUCAAGAAAGAAAUGACAGGCUCUGCGAGGACCAAGAAAGACUGCAAAGAUGCACUUAAAGAAAUACGAAAGCACAAAAAGGAAGCUAAAGAGCUCCUCAAACAGAAAGUGAAACUGGCCAAACGGCAGCUGAAAGAAAAAUUUAAAGACGCCGAGGAGCAGCUAAACAAAACGUUGAAAGAGCUGAAGGCAAAAGAAAAAGAAAAGAAAGCCGAGGAGACGAGGGGAUUCUGGAGCAGACUGCUGAGAAAGAACUGACCCAGCAGCAUCAAGUUUAAGGAGAUCAACAGUUUCGUCCUCCUUCCCCCUCUCUCCACCUUUCUUUCACCCCAUCCUUCUUCUUCUCUCUCUC